UACGAAGGGGGCUAGCGUUGUUCGGAUUUACUGGGCGUAAAGCGCACGUAGGCGGAUUGUUAAGUCAGGGGUGAAAUCCUGGAGCUCAACUCCAGAACUGCCUUUGAUACUGGCAAUCUUGAGUCCGGAAGAGGUGAGUGGAACUCCUAGUGUAGAGGUGGAAUUCGUAGAUAUUAGGAAGAACACCAGUGGCGAAGGCGGCUCACUGGUCCGGUACUGACGCUGAGGUGCGAAAGCGUGGGGAGCAAACAGGAUUAAGAAACCC
rnacentral:rRNA from 1 species